CCGCGUCGCGUCACGUCGCAUCCAGGGCGCGGCCGCUGACGAACCACUUGGUGGCGACGGCGACGGCGACGGCGCGCAUUGGGUCACAAGCACAAGCACAAGCAGCCGCUGGGAGGGAGCAGCUGUCUGGGUCAAAGUGACACGGCCGGGCCGGGCAGAUACAGGCAGCGGGUUGGCUGGGACGGCAUCCCCGGUGAACUAAGUGGGCCGCGAAGGUGAUCAGGGCCUCGAGCUUUUGGCGCAAUGGUCUGCAUUCCUUGCAUCGUCAUUCCAGUCCUACUGUGGGUUUACAAGAAGUUCUUGGAGCCUAUUGUGUAUCCAUUCAUCUCCCCUUUUAUUUCCCGUCUGUGGCCUAAAGCUGUUAAAGAAGAAACGUCCACACCAAAAAUUGAAGCACAUAAUGGAACAUUUAAGUCUGACCAUUCAUCUAUGAAGGGAGAUGGGGAUUGCAUUAACAACACUGCAGAUGGCAUCAACACAAGAAUUAUCAGAUACUUCAGACAAAAAGACCGAUUAAGAUCUUCAUGAAGCCUUGAAUAAUAUGUUAUAAUAUUUAAAAGAAUAACUAAUUUUAUUGACCAGCUUAAAAUUAAUGUAUAAAAAUUCCAAUGUUUUGCUAUAUGUUAAACUUCAUUCCGAUUUGUUUAAUCAUUUCCUUUUAUGCAAUUCUGUAAUAUAUUUCUUUAGUUCUGUAAUUGUGGACAAAUAUCCCAUAAGUGUCUUGAUUGCUGCAUUAUGUUAGAGAUGUUAUUGCAUAGAUUAUAAUUCUUGGUUGAGAACACUAUAGUUGUACUGUAAUUAGUAAAGUGGCUCCUAAUUAAAUAUGAAUAAAAGCAUUCCCUUAUAGCUGCAAUAUUGGAUUACACCAAGAAUAUGGACAGCAACUCUUUGAUCAGUUCUCUUGUCCUUACUUGCAUGUAACUGGCUGUUCUGCUGGUGCAACUCAAUAUAAAAUGGUCUGUUUAAUCUGACAAUUGGCCCCUUUUUACUUUGUCAUUCAGUAUCUGCUAUGCAGAUAUUUCUGAGGGAACAUGUGGAUGGAUAUUUUAAUCCUGAAAAGAUAGUUGGGGGGGGAAAUAUAGAAGUUAGCUGAAAGUUCAGUAUUUGGGCAUUGCUGAACUUCAGAAUUGUCUUAGAUGGGGCAUAUCUAUUUUCAUUUGAGUGAUGCAAGGAGAUCAUAAAGUUUAUAGUUUGAUUUAAAUUUUCUGUAGGACUUAUCCUGCUACAUAUGAUAGCAUUUAGUGAAGAUGGUCAGUUGUUCCAGAUUUAUUACCCAUCUGCAUUGUGUUGACAUUAGCUGAGAUCAAAAUUCAAUAUAAAUAGUCCAGAUUUUGAGUUAGGACACCUACAUACCACCCUAAUUAUAAUUUAUAGUUAGGUGUUUCUGGAAGGAUUCAACUGGAUUGUUGUGUCCUUUAUUCUGAUGUAGCUAGGCCUGUAUGUGAAGACUAGCAAAGAGCGGAUGGUACUGAGCUAGCCAAGCAGGAGUUAGUAGCUUCAGGAGAGCUGAAAUAUACUUGAUGGAAAUUGGAUGAGAAUUUUAUAAGCCAACAGGGAGAACAUUUAUUCUGAGAUUCGCAGUAGAGUUCUAUUGGGUGAACAGCCAUUUCUCACCUAGCUAAACCUGGGAGUUGUGAAAUUCAACCUGUUUAAAAUAUCUUUGGCUUUAUUGCCAUCUUGUGGAGGUUUAUCAAUACUCUUGCAGUAAAUGUAAAAGUUGUGGGCAUGGUCUGCAGAUGCCCCUUUUGCAAAGCAGCGAAACUGGGCUUAUAAAGGACAUGGUGGUCUGUUCUUUUGAGGUUGCCCUGAAACCACAAUAGAAUUGUGAAACAAUAUCCUAGAGUGUUAGGAUAUGAAAAUGUUUUUUUCCCCUUCAUACUCUCUCUCUCCUCCUCUCUCACUUGUACCCUUGUACUCUGUCUCCCUGCAAUGAAUGUAUAUGGUAAUACCCACAUAGCCUUUUGUUCCAUUUGUGGAGCUUCAUUUGAAGAAACCUGGUGUAAUGAAUGUAUAUGGUAAUACCCACAUAGCCUUUUGUUCCAUUUGUGGAGCUUCAUUUGAAGAAACCUGGAAUUGAUUGUUUCUCAACCAGAGAUGUGCAAAUGGAAGAAUGAGGAAGAAAACAAGAAUUUUACUUUACAUAAAUUGGAUUUCAUGCAUAAUGUCAGAAGACAGUUUAAUUCGGAAUUUGUCACGGUAUUUUUGAAAUAAACAUAGUUGCAAUGUGUGGAAUACUUCAUCUUUGCGUACAUCAAUUAUCAUGGAUAAUUGAACUAUGAUGGUAAAAAAAAGUUUUGAAUCCGUCAUAUGGCUUAGGAGUCCAUUCAUCCAAUUGCUUCAGUGCUACGUCCUUCAAAGAAGAGUUCAAAUAUAUAAUAGUACCUUAAAAUAUAUACCCAAUUCCAUUACUGUUAAAUUUACUUUACCAACAUUUUAAACAAUCCAAAUCCAGAAACACUAACAUUGCCCAAGGAUAUCAAUGACAAAUUUUUACAAUAUUAUCAAACACUUUAUUCAGCCAAAACGACAGAUUGUCCUGCGAGAAUGGAAACAUUCUUACAGAAAUGUAAUUUUACAGGCUUAGAUCUGAAUGAGAGAGAAUUAUUAGGUGCUGAAAUAUCAGUAAAAGAUAUUGAAGAGUCCAUUAGAUCUUUGAAAAACGGAAAGGCUGCAGGUCCUAAUGGUUUAAACUCUGAAUUUUAUUAAAAAAUUUAAUGAUCUGAUCUCUCCACGUCUACAGACAUUAUAUAAUUAUGCUUUCACUCAACAGAAAUUGCCAGAAACUCUUAACGAAUCAACAAUAACACAUACCAAAAACGGAUAAGGAUCUUGAGUAAAGGUUACCCUUCAGAUUCCUUUUAAAUCUCUUCCCCUUCACGUUAAACCUAUGCCCUCUGGUCCUCGAUUCACCUACUCUGGGCAAGAGACUACAUCUACAUGACCUAUUCCUCUCAUGGUCUUAUACGGGUGAUUCUUCAGUAAGUGUCUACUUUUAUGUCCCGCUACUUUGAAAAUCUGUAAUUCUAUCCCUUUUCUUCUUUUUCUAUAUUGUUAAUAAACAUAAUCCUCAUGAAUAAAGAUUAAACCCUCAA